rnacentral:rRNA from 1 species
CCUACGGGAGGCAGCAGUGGGGAAUAUUGGACAAUGGGCGAAAGCCUGAUCCAGCCAUGCCGCGUGUGUGAAGAAGGCCUUCGGGUUGUAAAGCACUUUCAGUGGGGAAGAAAGCCUUGGGGCUAAUACCCUCGAGGAAGGACAUCACCCACAGAAGAAGCACCGGCUAACUCCGUGCCAGCAGCCGCGGUAAUACGGAGGGUGCGAGCGUUAAUCGGAAUUACUGGGCGUAAAGCGCGCGUAGGCGGUCUGAUAAGCCGGUUGUGAAAGCCCCGGGCUCAACCUGGGAACGGCAUCCGGAACUGUCAGGCUAGAGUGCAGGAGAGGAAGGUAGAAUUCCCGGUGUAGCGGUGAAAUGCGUAGAGAUCGGGAGGAAUACCAGUGGCGAAGGCGGCCUUCUGGACUGACACUGACGCUGAGGUGCGAAAGCGUGGGUAGCAAACAGGAUUAGCUACCCCAGUAGUC